rnacentral:hammerhead_ribozyme from 1 species
AGUUAGCUGACGAGUCCCAAAUAGGAUGAAAUCUGCGUUAUCCUGGAU